rnacentral:rRNA from 1 species
CCAUGCAAGUCGAACGAGAAUCUACUGAAAGAGUUUUCGGACGAUGGAAGUAGAGGAAAGUGGCGGACGGGUGAGUAACGCGUGAGGAACCUGCCUUGAAGAGGGGGACAACAGUUGGAAACGACUGCUAAUACCGCAUGAAGCAUAGGGGUCGCAUGAUUCUUAUGCCAAAGAUUUAUCGCUUCAAGAUGGCCUCGCGUCUGAUUAGCUAGUUGGCGGGGUGACGGCCCACCAAGGCGACGAUCAGUAGCCGGACUGAGAGGUUGAACGGCCACAUUGGGACUGAGAUACGGCCCAGACUCCUACGGGAGGCAGCAGUGGGGAAUAUUGGGCAAUGGGCGCAAGCCUGACCCAGCAACGCCGCGUGAGGGAAGAAGGCUUUCGGGUUGUAAACUUCUUCUAAGAGGGAAGAGCAGAAGACGGUACCUCUAGAAUAAGCCACGGCUAACUACGUGCCAGCAGCCGCGGUAAUACGUAGGUGGCAAGCGUUGUCCGGAUUUACUGGGUGUAAAGGGCGUGCAGCCGGGUCUGCAAGUCAGAUGUGAAAUCCAUGGGCUCAACCCAUGAACUGCAUUUGAAACUGUAGAUCUUGAGUGU